rnacentral:rRNA from 1 species
AGGGCGCAUGGCGGAUGCCUUGGCUCUCGGAGGCGAUGAAGGACGUGAUAAGCUGCGAUAAGCUUCGGGCAGGUGCAAAUAACCUUUGAUCCGAAGAUUUCCGAAUGGGACAACCCGUCAUUCUGAAGGAAUGACAUCUUGCAUAGCAAGAGGCUAACGCAGGGAACUGAAACAUCUUAGUACCUGUAGGAAAAGAAAAUAAUAAUGAUUCCCCUAGUAGUGGCGAGCGAACGGGGAUUAGCCCAAACCAAUGUUGUUACGGCAAUAUUGGGGUUGUAGGACCACGAUGUCGCAAGAAAUUUAGUGAGAAGAACCCUUUGGAAAAUGGGACCAUAGACGGUGAUAGUCCGGUAUUCGAAGCUAAAUGAAGCGUAGUGGUAUCCUGAGUAGCGCGGGACACGAGGAAUCUUGCGUGAAUCUGCCGGGACCAUCCGGUAAGGCUAAAUACUCCCGAGAGACCGAUAGCGAACCAGUACUGUGAAGGAAAGGUGAAAAGCACUUCGAAUAGAAGAGUGAAAUAGUCCCUGAAACCGUGCGCCUACAAGCGGUCGGAGCUGCUUCAGCAGUGACGGCGUGCCUUUUGCAUAAUGAACCUACGAGUUACUUUUUCCGGCAAGGUUAAGGAUCUUGAGAUCCGCAGCCGAAGCGAAAGCGAGUCUUAACAGGGCGAUUAGUCGGAAGGAGUAGACGCGAAACCAAGUGAUCUACCCUUGGUCAGGUUGAAGGUUAGGUAACACUAACUGGAGGACCGAACCGAUAAGCGUUGAAAAGCUUCCGGAUGAACUGAGGGUGGGGGUGAAAGGCUAAUCAAACUUGGAGAUAGCUCGUACUCCCCGAAAUGCAUUUAGGUGCAGCCUUGUGGGUUACUGAUGUGAGGUAGAGCGACUGAUAAGAUGCGAGGGCUUCACCGCCUAUCAAGUCUUGAUAAACUCCGAAUGCGCAGUAGUUCGAUCCCAGGAGUGAGGGCAUGGGUGCUAAGGUCCAUGUCCUAAAGGAGAAGAAUCCGGACCAUCAGCUAAGGUCCCGAAAUAAUUGCUAAGUUGAACUAACGAAGUCAGAUUGCUAAGACAGCUAGGAUGUUGGCUUGGAAGCAGCCAUUCAUUUAAAGAGUGCGUAACAGCUCACUAGUCGAGGAGUCUGGCGUGGAUAAUAAUCGGGUAUUAAGUUGUCUACCGAAGCAGUGGGAUCAUUGAAAUGAUCGGUAGGGGAGCAUUCCAGUCAGCGUCGAAGGCGUACCGCGAGGUAUUCUGGAGCGUCUGGAAAAGCAAAUGUAGGUAUAAGUAACGAUAAAGGGGGCGGGAAACCCCCUCGCCGAAAGACUAAGGUUUCCUGAUCAACGCUAAUCGGAUCAGGGUUAGUCGGGUCCUAAGGCUCAGCCGAACGGUGAGGCCGAUGGCAGAACAGGUUAAUAUUCCUGUACUACCUUAAGGAGUGACGUGGAGACGGAGCAGUGACAGCGCCGCGGACUGACGGAAUAGUCCGUUGAAGGGUGUAGAUGUUGAUCUUUGCAGGCAAAUCCACAAAGAGAGUCGAACCUGAUAGUAUGGAGCGUUCUUCGGAACAAUCCAAUAGUGCGUGUAAACAUACUCCCAAGAAAAUCCGCUAAACUUAAUCUUUAAGGUACCCGUACCGCAAACGGACACACGUAGUCGGGUUGAAUAUACUAAGGCGCUUGAGUGAUUCACGGUUAAGGAACUAGGCAAAUUGACCCUGUAACUUCGGGAUAAAGGGUCCCAACGAGAGUUGGGCGCAGAGAAUAGGUCCAGGCAACUGUUUAACAAAAACACAGGGCUGUGCCAAAUUGAAAGAUUACGUAUACAGCCUGACACCUGCCCGGUGCUGGAAGGUUAAGAGGAGAUGUCAUCGCAAGAGAAGCAUUGAAUUGAAGCCCCAGUAAACGGCGGCCGUAACUAUAACGGUCCUAAGGUAGCGAAAUUCCUUGUCGGGUAAGUUCCGACCUGCACGAAUGGUGUAAUGAUCUGGACGCUGUCUCAACCGUGAGCUCAGUGAAAUUGUAGUAUCGGUGAAGAUGCCGAUUACCCGCGAUGGGACGAAAAGACCCCGUGAACCUUUACUAUAGCUUAACAUUGAAUUUGGGUAAUUGAUGUGUAGGAUAGGCCGGAGACUUUGAAUCAGGUACGCCAGUAUUUGUGGAGUCGCUGUUGAAAUACGGCCCUUUGAUUAUUUGAGUUCUAACUCGUAGAUGCGAGGACACUGUUUGGUGGGUAGUUUGACUGGGGUGGUCGCCUCCAAAAGUGUAACGGAGGCUUCUAAAGGUGCCCUCAGGACGAUUGGUAACCGUCCGUAGAGUGUAAUGGCAUAAGGGCGCUUGACUGGGAGACAGACAAGUCGAUCAGGUAGGAAACUAGAGCAUAGUGAUCCGGUGUUUCCGUAUGGA